GUGAGUAACGCGUGAGGAACCUGCCUCAAAGAGGGGGACAACAGUUGGAAACGACUGCUAAUACCGCAUAAGCCCACGACCCGGCAUCGGGUAGAGGGAAAAGGAGCAAUCCGCUUUGAGAUGGCCUCGCGUCCGAUUAGCUAGUUGGUGAGGUAACGGCCCACCAAGGCGACGAUCGGUAGCCGGCCUGAGAGGGCGACCGGCCACAUUGGGACUGAGACACGGCCCAAACUCCUACGGGAGGCAGCAGUGGGGAAUAUUGCACAAUGGGGGAAACCCUGAUGCAGCGACGCCGCGUGAGCGAAGAAGUAUUUCGGUAUGUAAAGCUCUAUCAGCAGGGAAGAUAAUGACGGUACCUGACUAAGAAGCCCCGGCUAACUACGUGCCAGCAGCCGCGGUAAUACGUAGGGGGCAAGCGUUAUCCGGAUUUACUGGGUGUAAAGGGAGCGUAGACGGCAAGGCAAGUCUGAUGUGAAAACCCAGGGCUUAACCCUGGGACUGCAUUGGAAACUGUCUGGCUCGAGUGCCGGAGAGGUAAGCGGAAUUCCUAGUGUAGCGGUGAAAUGCGUAGAUAUUAGGAAGAACACCAGUGGCG
rnacentral:rRNA from 1 species